rnacentral:rRNA from 1 species
UGGGGAAUAUUGGACAAUGGGCGAAAGCCUGAUCCAGCAAUGCCGCGUGUGUGAAGAAGGUCUUCGGAUUGUAAAGCACUUUCGACGGGGACGAUGAUGACGGUACCCGUAGAAGAAGCCCCGGCUAACCUCGUGUCAG